rnacentral:hammerhead_ribozyme from 1 species
GCACUGCUGACGAGUCCCACACAUGACGAAACAGAUGUGUCCAGUAC